CCUACGGGAGGCAGCAGUGGGGAAUAUUGGACAGUGGGCGCAAGCCUGAUCCAGCCAUGCCGCGUGAGUGAUGAAGGCCCUAGGGUUGUAAAGCUCUUCCAACGGUGAAGAUAAUGACGGUAACCGUAGAAGAAGCCCCGGCUAACUCCGUGCCAGCAGCCGCGGUAAU
rnacentral:rRNA from 1 species